rnacentral:rRNA from 1 species
GACGAACGCUGGCGGCGUGCUUAACACAUGCAAGUCGAACGGAAAGGCCCUGCUUUUGUGGGGUUCUCGAGUGGCGAACGGGUGAGUAACACGUGAGUAACCUGCCCUUGACUUUGGGAUAACUUCAGGAAACUGGGGCUAAUACCGGAUAGGAUCUCCUGCUGCAUGGUGGGGGUUGGAAAUUUUCGGCGGGUGGGGAUGGACUCGCGGCUUAUCAGCUUGUUGGUUGGGUAGUGGCUUACCAAGGCUUUGACGGGUAGCCGGCCUGAGAGGGUGACCGGCGACAUUGGGACUGAGAUACGGCGCAGACUCCUAUGGGAGACAGCAGUGGGGAAUAUGGUCCAAUGGGCGGAAGUCUGAUGCAGAAACGCCGCGUGCGGGAUGACGGUCUUCGGGUUGUAAAACGCUUUAGCCUGUGACGAAGCGUGAGUGACGGUAAUGGGUAAAGAAGCACCGGCUAACUACGUG